rnacentral:rRNA from 1 species
CCUACGGGAGGCAGCAGUGGGGAAUAUUGGACAAUGGGCGAAAGCCUGAUCCAGCAAUGCCGCGUGAGUGAUGAAGGCCUUAGGGUUGUAAAGCUCUUUUACCAGGGAUGAUAAUGACAGUACCUGGAGAAUAAGCUCCGGCUAACUCCGUGCCAGCAGCCGCGGUAAUACGGAGGGAGCUAGCGUUGUUCGGAAUUACUGGGCGUAAAGCGCGCGUAGGCGGCGAUUCAAGUCAGAGGUGAAAGCCCGGGGCUCAACCCCGGAACUGCCUUUGAAACUAGAUUGCUAGAAUCUUGGAGAGGUCAGUGGAAUUCCGAGUGUAGAGGUGAAAUUCGUAGAUAUUCGGAAGAACACCAGUGGCGAAGGCGACUGACUGGACAAGUAUUGACGCUGAGGUGCGAAAGCGUGGGGAGCAAACAGGAUUAGAUACCCGUGGUAGUCCACGCCGUAAACGAUGAUAACUAGCUGUACCGGGCACUUGGUGCCUGGGUGGCGCNGCUACGACAUAAGUUAUCCGUCCGUCGGGUAGGUACGGUCGCGAGAGUAAACGUAACGUAAAGGUAAAGUUAGUUAGCGUGAGACGUGCGACGGACGACGACGAGGGAGGAGG